rnacentral:rRNA from 1 species
CGAACGAGUUUAGGCUCGUGGCGUACGGCUCAGUAACACGUGGAUAACCUACCCUUAGGACCGGGAUAACCCUGGGAAACUGGGGAUAAUACUGGAUAGGCAAUUUUUCCUGUAAUGGUUUUUUGUUUAAAUGUUUUUUCGCCUAAGGAUGGGUCUGCGGCCGAUUAGGUAGUUGGUUAGGUAAUGGCUUACCAAGCCGUUGAUCGGUACGGGUUGUGAGAGCAAGAGCCCGGAGAUGGAACCUGAGACAAGGUUCCAGGCCCUACGGGGUGCAGCAGGCGCGAAACCUCCGCAAUGUGAGAAAUCGCGACGGGGGGAUCCCAAGUGCCAUUCUUAACGGGAUGGCUUUUCAUUAGUGUAAAGAGCUUUUGGAAUAAGGGCUGGGCAAGACCGGUGCCAGCCGCCGCGGUAACACCGGCAGCUCUAGUGGUAGCAGUUUUUAUUGGGCCUAAAGCGUCCGUAGCCGGUUUAAUAAGUCUCUGGUGAAAUCCUGUAGCUUAACUGUGGGAAUUGCUGGAGAUACUAUUAGACUUGAGACCGGGAGAGGUUAGAGGUACUCCCAGGGUAGAGGUGAAAUUCUGUAAUCCUGGGAGGACCGCCUGUUGCGAAGGCGUCUAACUGGAACGGUUCUGACGGUGAGGGACGAAAGUUAGGGGCGCGAACCGGAUUAGAUACCCGGGUAGUCCUAACCGUAAACGAUGCGGACUUGGUGUUGGGGUGGCUUUGAGCUGCUCCAGUGCCGAAGGGAAGCUGUUAAGUCCGCCGCCUGGGAAGUACGGUCGCAAGACUGAAACUUAAAGGAAUUGGCGGGGGAGCACCACAACGCGUGGAGCCUGCGGUUUAAUUGGAUUCAACGCCGGACAUCUCACCAGAGGCGACAGCUGUAUGAUAGCCAGGUUGAUGACUUUGCUUGACUAGCUGAGAGGU